rnacentral:rRNA from 1 species
GACGAACGCUGGCGGCGUGCUUAACACAUGCAAGUCGAACGGAAAGGCCCUGCUUGCCGGGUGCUCGAGUGGCGAACGGGUGAGUAACACGUGGGUGAUCUGCCCCUUACUUUGGGAUAAGCCUGGGAAACUGGGUCUAAUACUGGAUAGGACCAUGCUGUAGGUGGUGUGGUGGGAAGAUGAGUUUCGGUAAGGGAUGAGCUCGCGGCCUAUCAGCUUGUUGGUGGGGUAGUGGCGUACCAGGGCGUCGACGGGUAGCCGGCCUGAGAGGGUGGACGGCCACAUGGGGGCUGAGAUACAGCCCGGACGCCGACGGGAGGCAGCAGUGGGGAAUAGUGCACAAUGGGCGCAAGCCUGAUGCAGCGACGCCGCGUGGGGGAUGACGGCCUUCGGGUUGUAAACUCCUUUCAGCCAUGACGAAGCCCUUGUGGUGACGGUAGUGGUAGAAGAAGCACCGGCUAACUACGUG